rnacentral:rRNA from 1 species
AUUGAACGCUGGCGGCAGGCCUAACACAUGCAAGUCGAGCGGGGUUUUCGGACCUAGCGGCGGACGGGUGAGUAAUGCGUAGGAAGCUACCCGAUAGAGGGGGAUACCAGUUGGAAACGACUGUUAAUACCGCAUAAUGUCUACGGACCAAAGUGUGGGACCUUCGGGCCACAUGCUAUCGGAUGCGCCUACGUGGGAUUAGCUAGUUGGUGGGGUAAUGGCUCACCAAGGCGACGAUCCCUAGCUGGUUUGAGAGGAUGAUCAGCCACACUGGAACUGAGACACGGUCCAGACUCCUACGGGAGGCAGCAGUGGGGAAUAUUGGACAAUGGGCGCAAGCCUGAUCCAGCCAUGCCGCGUGUGUGAAGAAGGCCUUCGGGUUGUAAAGCACUUUCAGUAGGGAGGAAGGGUUAAGUGUUAAUAGUACUUAACUUUGACGUUACCUACAGAAGAAGCACCGGCUAACUCUGUGCCAGCCGCCGCCGUAAAAC